rnacentral:rRNA from 1 species
UGAGGAACAUGACCUUCGGCGGGGGAUAGCCGGCCCAACGGCCGGGUAAUACCGCGUACGACCACAUGGGGACAUCCCUGAGUGGUGAAAGCAGCAAUGCGCCGAUGGAGUGCCUCGCGGCCUAUCAGCUAGUUGGUGAGGCAACGGCUCACCAAGGCGACGACGGGUAGCUGGUCUGAGAGGAUGGCCAGCCACAUUGGGACUGAGACACGGCCCAGAUCCUACGGG